UACGUAGGUGGCAAGCGUUGUCCGGAUUUACUGGGCGUAAAGAGCGCGCAGGCGGUCGUUCAAGUCGCGUGUGAAAGCCCCCGGCUCAACUGGGGAGGGUCACGCGAUACUGAUCGACUCGAAGGCAGGAGAGGGAAGUGGAAUUCCCGGUGUAGUGGUGAAAUGCGUAGAUAUCGGGAGGAACACCAGUGGCGAAGGCGGGUCUCUGGACAGUUCCUGACACUGAGGCACGAAGGUCAGGGGAGCAGACGGGG
rnacentral:rRNA from 1 species